rnacentral:rRNA from 1 species
GACGAACGCUGGCGGCGUGCCUAAUACAUGCAAGUAGAACGCACAGUUUAUACCGUAGCUUGCUACACCAUAGACUGUGAGUUGCGAACGGGUGAGUAACGCGUAGGUAACCUGCCUGGUAGCGGGGGAUAACUAUUGGAAACGAUAGCUAAUACCGCAUAAAUUUGAUUAUUGCAUGAUAAUUGAUUGAAAGAUGCUAUUGCAUCACUACCAGAUGGACCUGCGUUGUAUUAGCUAGUAGGUGAGGUAACGGCUCACCUAGGCGACGAUACAUAGCCGACCUGAGAGGGUGAUCGGCCACACUGGGACUGAGACACGGCCCAGACUCCUACGGGAGGCAGCAGUAGGGAAUCUUCGGCAAUGGACGAAAGUCUGACCGAGCAACGCCGCGUGAGUGAAGAAGGUUUUCGGAUCGUAAAGCUCUGUUGUAAGAGAAGAACGGGUGUGAGAGUGGAAAGUUCACACUGUGACGGUAUCUUACCAGAAAGGGACGGCUAACUACGUG